GAUGAACGCUGGCGGCGUGCUUAACACAUGCAAGUCGAACGAAGCACCUCUCCCGAAGAUUGACACAGCUUGCUGUAGAUUGAUUCAUUUGAGGUGACUGAGUGGCGGACGGGUGAGUAACGCGUGGGUAACCUGCCUCAUAGAGGGGGACAACAGUUGGAAACGACUGCUAAUACCGCAUAGUAAGAAGAAUUCGCAUGUUUUCUUCUUGAAAGAUUUAUCGCUAUGAGAUGGACCCGCGUCUGAUUAGCUAGUUGGUAAGGUAACGGCUUACCAAGGCGACGAUCAGUAGCCGGCUUGAGAGAGUGAACGGCCACGUUGGGACUGAGACACGGCCCAAACUCCUACGGGAAGCAGCAGUGGGGAAUAUUGCACAAUGGGGGAAACCCUGAUGCAGCGACGCCGCGUGAGUGAAGAAGUAUUUCGGUAUGUAAAGCUCUAUCAGCAGGGAAGAUAAUGACGGUACCUGACUAAGAAGCCCCGGCUAACUACGUG
rnacentral:rRNA from 1 species